rnacentral:rRNA from 1 species
UAGCUCUUCGGAGCCGGUUGCGAGGUGCUGCAUGGUUGUCGUCAGCUCGUGCCGUGAGGUGUCGGCUUAAGUGCCAUAACGAGCGCAACCCUUAUUGUUAGUUGCCAGCGGGUCAAGCCGGGGACUCUAGCAAAACUGCCAGCGUAAGCUGCGAGGAAGGUGGGGAUGACGUCAAAUCAGCACGGCCCUUACGUCUGGGGCUACACACGUGUUACAAUGGUAGAUACAGAGGGCAGCUACUUCGCGAGAAGAUGCUAAUCUCGAAAGUCUAUCUUAGUUCGGAUUGGAGUCUGCAACUCGACUCCAUGAAGCUGGAUUCGCUAGUAAUCGCAUAUCAGCCAUGAUGCGGUGAAUACGUUCCCGGGCCUUGUACACACCGCCCGUCAAGCCAUGGGAGCUGGGGGUACCUGAAGUACGUGACCGCAAGGAGCGUCCUAGGGUAAAACUGGUAACUGGGGCUAAGUCGUAACAAGGUAGCCGUACCGGAAGGUGCGGCU